ACGAACUCUGGUAUUGAUUGGUGCUUGCAUCAUGAUUUACAUUUGAGUGAGUGGCGAACUGGUGAGUAACACGUGGGAAACCUGCCCAGAAGCGGGGGAUAACACCUGGAAACAGAUGCUAAUACCGCAUAACAACUUGGACCGCAUGGUCCGAGUUUGAAAGAUGGCUUCGGCUAUCACUUUUGGAUGGUCCCGCGGCGUAUUAGCUAGAUGGUGAGGUAACGGCUCACCAUGGCAAUGAUACGUAGCCGACCUGAGAGGGUAAUCGGCCACAUUGGGACUGAGACACGGCCCAAACUCCUACGGGAGGCAGCAGUAGGGAAUCUUCCACAAUGGACGAAAGUCUGAUGGAGCAACGCCGCGUGAGUGAAGAAGGGUUUCGGCUCGUAAAACUCUGUUGUUAAAGAAGAACAUAUCUGAGAGUAACUGUUCAGGUAUUGACGGUAUUUAACCAGAAAGCCACGGCUAACUACGUGCCAGCAGCCGCGGUAAUACGUAGGUGGCAAGCGUUGUCCGGAUUUAUUGGGCGUAAAGCGAGCGCAGGCGGUUUUUUAAGUCUGAUGUGAAAGCCUUCGGCUCAACCGAAGAAGUGCAUCGGAAACUGGGAAACUUGAGUGCAGAAGAGGACAGUGGAACUCCAUGUGUAGCGGUGAAAUGCGUAGAUAUAUGGAAGAACACCAGUGGCGAAGGCGGCUGUCUGGUCUGUAACUGACGCUGAGGCUCGAAAGUAUGGGUAGCAAACAGGAUUAGAUACCCUGGUAGUCCAUACCGUAAACGAUGAAUGCUAAGUGUUGGAGGGUUUCCGCCCUUCAGUGCUGCAGCUAACGCAUUAAGCAUUCCGCCUGGGGAGUACGGCCGCAAGGCUGAAACUCAAAGGAAUUGACGGGGGCCCGCACAAGCGGUGGAGCAUGUGGUUUAAUUCGAAGCUACGCGAAGAACCUUACCAGGUCUUGACAUACUAUGCAAAUCUAAGAGAUUAGACGUUCCCUUCGGGGGACAUGGAUACAGGUGGUGCAUGGUUGUCGUCAGCUCGUGUCGUGAGAUGUUGGGUUAAGUCCCGCAACGAGCGCAACCCUUAUUAUCAGUUGCCAGCAUUAAGUUGGGCACUCUGGUGAGACUGCCGGUGACAAACCGGAGGAAGGUGGGGAUGACGUCAAAUCAUCAUGCCCCUUAUGACCUGGGCUACACACGUGCUACAAUGGAUGGUACAACGAGUUGCGAACUCGCGAGAGUAAGCUAAUCUCUUAAAGCCAUUCUCAGUUCGGAUUGUAGGCUGCAACUCGCCUACAUGAAGUCGGAAUCGCUAGUAAUCGCGGAUCAGCAUGCCGCGGUGAAUACGUUCCCGGGCCUUGUACACACCGCCCGUCACACCAUGAGAGUUUGUAACACCCAAAGUCGGUGG
rnacentral:rRNA from 2 species